rnacentral:rRNA from 1 species
CUUCCUACGGGACGCAGCAGUGAGGAAUAUUGGUCAAUGGACGAAAGUCUGAACCAGCCAUGCCGCGUGCAGGAAGACGGCUCUAUGAGUUGUAAACUGCUUUUGUACAAGGGUAAACCUGAAUACGUGUAUUCAGCUGAAAGUACUGUACGAAUAAGGAUCGGCUAACUCCGUGCCAGCAGCCGCGGUAAUACGGGGGAUGCAAGCGUUAUCCGGAUUUAUUGGGUUUAAAGGGUGCGUAGGCUGUGAGGUAAGUCAGCGGUGAAAUGCCCCCGCUCAACGGGGUGAAGUGCCAUUGAUACUGC